UGUUCUCCACAGCUCCCCAAUAGAGAAGAACAAACCUGGGGGGGCCAUGAGACAUUGCACUCGGCUCACACACAGAGGAGCCCCACCAAACAAAGCAGGGGACGGGAUGAGGAGGGAUCUCCACAAGUAUUUCUGCUGCCCAGUUUCCUGUGGAUUUAGGGACUAAGGGUCUCCCAUUUCUGUGUGCCCCAUCCCUGUAUGCUCUCACCUCCAUUCUCUCAGUCUCACUGAGCCUGUAGUUUGGGAAAAACAGGCUCCCACCCAAACCAGUUUGCCACAGCCCUCUCCUUGUGUGCAAGAUAAGCAGGUAUGGCUUUCAAACCAGUACGGUUUGGCUGUAGAGCUGGGGAGAGAUGUAGGUCUCAGUCAGUCCUGCAACAUUUCUGACCUCGUUUGGCUGCAAGUCUCAUGCCUCAAGCAACAACCUUAUAUCUUUGAAGCUUACCCUUUGUCCUAUUCCAGUUAUAAAGCUAUUUUAUCAACGUGGAAUGGGAUAAUUCAAUCUCCACAACCCUCAGUGCUGAGCUCUUCUAUUGAGAUUCCCAGUAGCAUUGUGUUUUCAGCAAUGACACUAUUACUAUCAUUUUGUGGAGGUUUCUGAAUUCAUGCCUUGGUGAUCUCUAACGCCACAAAGCAGGGAUGGGUAUUUCAUCCCAUCAGGGUGUUGGAAAUAGUAUAAGAAAAACUUAGGUUAAUAUAAUCCAAACACUAUCUCAGAUUGUGCCAAUCAAGAAGCUGGAUUCCAGCACUUCACAUCUUCAUGUUGGCUGCAAGGUUUUUAAAUGUGUUUGCUUUCUGCAGAAUAAACACCGUUUUCAAGCAGUGUAGUUUCCAUUUGGAAAGCAAAACUUCUUGCUCUAAAAAUGCCAAAGCAAAUUUGAUUUUAAAUUCUUCUUUAAUUGAUGCAAUUUCAUCUGGAUCAUUCCUUUUCUGCAGCUUCAGAGUCAACAAAUGGACAUGGUGAGAUGUUCCCUGGGAAAGUUUAUGACCACUGUUACUUCACCUCUGUGAGUUUCCACCUCUAAGCGGGUUGGUCCUGGGCUGAGAAGGUCGAUCCCUGCUGGUGCUGUCUGCUGAAUCAAGGGGAGAGCCCUUAAGAGCCUGACACAAGCACCCCGGGCUGUGCCAGCCUCAUCUUGCACAGGAGACCCGCUUACCACCAUAAGCUGGGUGAGUUCACAAACCAAGUGAGGCAUGGGGUUCAAGGUAAAGCCAACAUCAGCAGUGAGAUCCAGGUCUGACUUAUCCACUCCUGGAGGGGGCUGGAAAACAAAUCUGCGGAGCAAGCCAGCAAAGAAAAGGAACAGCUCCAUUUUGGCCAGUCCUUCUCCAACACAAGCCCUUCGUCCUGAAAACAGCCAGGAGAGAAGUAUAUGGUGAGUGCUGUAACUGUUACUGUUGAUGUCCGAGACCUUUUAAACUGGAUGUACCAUCUGUAAGAGCAGGCUGCUCAGGUUUGUUGUUGAGCCAAGGGAGCUUGUAGUCACUACAGUACAUCCCAUGCCUGAUUCUGAUUACACACCUUUGUUACCCCAUAACCUUCAACAGAAACCAGAUCAGAAUCAGCUCCUGAGGAGACCUUUAGUGACGUAAGCCCAUAGCCUGCAGAAGAAGACCCCAGCGCACAGUUGUAGAAGUAGUCUCAGUCCCAGCAGCAAAGAGGUCCAGGGUUGAAAACAUCAAGUUUCCAUUGCUGAACAUAGUUUGGCCUUUCUUUGACUCCUUCAAAACAUACAGGAAGGUUUAGGAUGAUCUCCUCCUUAUGUGUGCUGAGUGGUAACUUAUUUCACUUAUGUGGGACAUCUUGACAACUAGAUCCCUGUAACCAGCAGUUUCAGUGGAGCUAUGGAGCGAGCACAGCACGGCUCAAUGAAUUGCAUGUUUUCCUUCUGCCUGCUCACUCAGACCCUACCUCUGUCAGCGACUGGAACGGCUUUUUCAGGUCCACCACAUUCAAGUUUCCAAUCAGAGGAAGAGGACGUGGCCCAG